GGACCAUCCUCCAAGGCUAAAUACUCCUGACUGACCGAUAGUGAACCAGUACCGUGAGGGAAAGGCGAAAAGAACCCCGGCGAGGGGAGUGAAAAAGAACCUGAAACCGUGUACGUACAAGCAGUGGGAGCACAGAGCAAUCUGUGUGACUGCGUACCUUUUGUAUAAUGGGUCAGCGACUUAUAUUCUGUAGCAAGGUUAACCGAAUAGGGGAGCCGAAGGGAAACCGAGUCUUAACCGGGCGUUAAGUUGCAGGGUAUAGACCCGAAACCCGGUGAUCUAGCCAUGGGCAGGUUGAAGGUUGGGUAACACUAACUGGAGGACCGAACCGACUAAUGUUGAAAAAUUAGCGGAUGACUUGUGGCUGGGGGUGAAAGGCCAAUCAAACCGGGAGAUAGCUGGUUCUCCCCGAAAGCUAUUUAGGUAGCGCCUCGUGAAUUCAUCUCCGGGGGUAGAGCACUGUUUCGGCAAGGGGGUCAUCCCGACUUACCAACCCGAUGCAAACUGCGAAUACCGGAGAAUGUUAUCACGGGAGACACACGGCGGGUGCUAACGUCCGUCGUGAAGAGGGAAACAACCCAGACCGCCAGCUAAGGUCCCAAAGUCAUGGUUAAGUGGGAAACGAUGUGGGAAGGCCCAGACAGCCAGGAUGUUGGCUUAGAAGCAGCCAUCAUUUAAAGAAAGCGUAAUAGCUCACUGGUCGAGUCGGCCUGCGCGGAAGAUGUAACGGGGCUAAACCAUGCACCGAAGCUGCGGCAGCGACACUGUGUGUUGUUGGGUAGGGGAGCGUUCUGUAAGCCUGUGAAGGUGUGCUGUGAGGCAUGCUGGAGGUAUCAGAAGUGCGAAUGCUGACAUAAGUAACGAUAAAGCGGGUGAAAAGCCCGCUCGCCGGAAGACCAAGGGUUCCUGUCCAACGUUAAUCGGGGCAGGGUGAGUCGACCCCUAAGGCGAGGCCGAAAGGCGUAGUCGAUGGGAAACAGGUUAAUAUUCCUGUACUUGGUGUUACUGCGAAGGGGGGACGGAGAAGGCUAUGUUGGCCGGGCGACGGUUGUCCCGGUUUAAGCGUGUAGGCUGGUUUUCCAGGCAAAUCCGGAAAAUCAAGGCUGAGGCGUGAUGACGAGGCACUACGGUGCUGAAGCAACAAAUGCCCUGCUUCCAGGAAAAGCCUCUAAGCAUCAGGUAACAUCAAAUCGUACCCCAAACCGACACAGGUGGUCAGGUAGAGAAUACCAAGGCGCUUGAGAGAACUCGGGUGAAGGAACUAGGCAAAAUGGUGCCGUAACUUCGGGAGAAGGCACGCUGAUAUGUAGGUGAAGUCCCUCGCGGAUGGAGCUGAAAUCAGUCGAAGAUACCAGCUGGCUGCAACUGUUUAUUAAAAACACAGCACUGUGCAAACACGAAAGUGGACGUAUACGGUGUGACGCCUGCCCGGUGCCGGAAGGUUAAUUGAUGGGGUCAGCGCAAGCGAAGCUCUUGAUCGAAGCCCCGGUAAACGGCGGCCGUAACUAUAACGGUCCUAAGGUAGCGAAAUUCCUUGUCGGGUAAGUUCCGACCUGCACGAAUGGCGUAAUGAUGGCCAGGCUGUCUCCACCCGAGACUCAGUGAAAUUGAACUCGCUGUGAAGAUGCAGUGUACCCGCGGCAAGACGGAAAGACCCCGUGAACCUUUACUAUAGCUUGACACUGAACAUUGAGCCUUGAUGUGUAGGAUAGGUGGGAGGCUUUGAAGUGUGGACGCCAGUCUGCAUGGAGCCGACCUUGAAAUACCACCCUUUAAUGUUUGAUGUUCUAACGUGGACCCGUGAUCCGGGUUGCGGACAGUGUCUGGUGGGUAGUUUGACUGGGGCGGUCUCCUCCUAAAGAGUAACGGAGGAGCACGAAGGUUGGCUAAUCCUGGUCGGACAUCAGGAGGUUAGUGCAAUGGCAUAAGCCAGCUUGACUGCGAGCGUGACGGCGCGAGCAGGUGCGAAAGCAGGUCAUAGUGAUCCGGUGGUUCUGAAUGGAAGGGCCAUCGCUCAACGGAUAAAAGGUACUCCGGGGAUAACAGGCUGAUACCGCCCAAGAGUUCAUAUCGACGGCGGUGUUUGGCACCUCGAUGUCGGCUCAUCACAUCCUGGGGCUGAAGUAGGUCCCAAGGGUAUGGCUGUUCGCCAUUUAAAGUGGUACGCGAGCUGGGUUUAGAACGUCGUGAGACAGUUCGGUCCCUAUCUGCCGUGGGCGCUGGAGAACUGAGGGGGGCUGCUCCUAGUACGAGAGGACCGGAGUGGACGCAUCACUGGUGUUCGGGUUGUCAUGCCAAUGGCACUGCCCGGUAGCUAAAUGCGGAAGAGAUAAGUGCUGAAAGCAUCUAAGCACGAAACUUGCCCCGAGAUGAGUUCUCCCUGACCCUUUAAGGGUCCUGAAGGAACGUUGAAGACGACGACGU
rnacentral:rRNA from 1 species